CCGGUCAACUCUGGAGAGCGGCCGCGAUGCGGCCCACCGAAGGGGCAAGCGGCGCCAGCCGCUAUCUCUCAGGUACCAAGGACAGAGGGGUCGAU
rnacentral:ncRNA from 2 species